UUCAAUAUGAGUAUCAGAAGCACUUAUAAUUUCUUACUAGCUUAUUUUUUUCAGCUAUCUCAGCUUAAAUAAUGCUUAACUCUUUGAAGAACAUGGAUUAAAAUGAGCAAAUUUUUAGUAUAAAUUCAGUAUACAGAGUAUAGAUUUAAAUGAAAAUGAAGUUAAAGCUAAAGUUUAUUUUUAAUUCAGGCUCUUGACAUGUAAAGGCAUUUUAAGCCACCUACAUAUUUCCAAGAUGGUGUAGACCACCUGCUGUUAACAUAUUGUAAGGAAAAUGAAGAGUUGUAAAUGAGUUUGGGUGAUUUCUCUGCUUUUAAAUAUAAAUGAAACUGAAUAUCUUCUGUCCUAUACUCUUAAUAGUGAACUACGAGAGUAUUCAAAUCUUUGUGUGAAAGUAAAGGCUGUCAUAAAGAUUGCCAUUAGCCUCUUUUAUUUUUUUUUUUGCUAUGUGAAUACUUGUUAGCAUUGGAUAAUUUGAAUAUAAUUUAGUUAUACAACUUAUUUCUUUUUGUCUCUAAAUGUGAUACUUUGUAAAUGUGCUUUGACAGUAAAGAGGUAAUUCUGAUUGAAAUGUAGAAAACCCAUUUUACUUGAACAUUAUAAAUGAUAGAUCAGAGUGUAAGGCUAAGAAUUACUGAAAAUGGAGUAGCCCUUACAAGGUGUAUAUAACAUCAGCCCAGCUAAGGUAAUCAGAACACUUUUAGAACUGAAAUUCCUUCCCAUGAGACAAGAACUGAUAAAGUUUGCUGAUCAUAUUAGAUGAUGGGAGGCAGGAAAUUAUUUGAAAACUUGGAUAGUAUAUUCUAUGAAUAUUAUCAUAACAUUUGAAUAGAGAAUGAGGAUAAUUAAGGUGUAAUCACUUGAUUUUUAGUCCCACCCCUCAUGUGGAAAUAUCUAAUUCUUACCAACGAACACAUUCAAAGUACCCAAGUUGCUGAAAAGAAUUUGUUUUAUUUUAGUUAAGCAUUAAUAAAGUAUUGAAACUUACUAUUGACUCAUACUCCUUCUGAUGGUUGCAUAUCAAGAUGAAAAAUGUGCAGAGCCCUCUGAUUAUAUGUAUAGGUAAAAAAGAUGGAGUAGUGAUAAAUACUGGUCAAUAACUGUUUUAACUCCAGAUUUCUAUGUCAUAUUUAGGGAUUUUUAUCCUCAAAAUGUGUAAAGAGUUUCUUAGAUUUUUUCCCAUUCAUAAACUUUAAAAUCUACAAAAUAAUGAUUUAUUUUGGAUGGGUAGCUACUCCAACAUGCCUUCUUCACAUUCUUCCAUAGCAUUGAAAACUUGCCAUUUGAGUUUGAUAACUUUGGCUCCCUUUGGAAAUAACUUAAUUGUAUGAAAUUGUCAUAUUGUAGCUUUAAGCCCUUCUGAAGAUCAUAGGUCAAGCUAAAAAUUAAAAGGAGCCUCAUUGUAUUGUGUCAGUUGUACCUUUUGGAGCAUUGGUGGAAUAUUGAUUAAUCAUUUUACCAAUAAGUUUCAGAUUAAUUUGUAUAUUAUAUAAAAUUUAUUAAAAGUAGCAACCAACAUCACAUCAGAAGGAACUAUGAAAUUUUUGAUUGUAGAUACCUGCCGCUUUUCCUGUUAAUGAAAUUAGUUUCAAGUUAAAUUGUUAUUGAAACUUAAAACCAGGAUUAUGUUCUGGAGUUUUUCUGAAAUGUUUCUCCACUUGCUGAUCUGAAUCCCUCCCUUCCUCCCUCCUCCCUCC